CGCCGCCGCCGCCGCCGCGGAGGUCGCCGUUGCCGCUGGGGGCCCCUUUUCGGCGCUCUUGUCCCCAGGGUAGUCAGAAGCGGCGAGGUUUUCCGGGGUGCCGUAGGCCGUCUCAAAAAACUGGUCGAAAGCCUGUGGCAGGACGCCGUUCCUGCCCACCGUGCUAUAGAAAUUGGACGAGACGGCGGGGGUGGGGUGGUGGUAGACGUUGGCCGAGCUCUUGGCCAGCACGUCGCCAGGCACGCCGGCCGCGCUGGGCGCCUGCAGGCAGUCUCUGUGCACGAGCUCCUCUGCGGAGUAGCAGUGGGCCAGAUUGCCGCGGGGGUGCCAUUUAGUGGCGGGCUCAAUGGCGUACUCUCUGAAGGUCACUUCGCGCACGGGUUGGACCUGGGGCAGGUUGGAGGAGUAGGAGUAUGUCAUUGGGCGCGAAGACGGGGUCUGGGGCAGAAAAGAAGGGAGGCUGGAGAAAUCUGGACCCGAGACGUAGUAAGUACAACUUGGCAAAUACAUGUUAGAGGAGCAGGGACCACGCUCAUCAAAAUCCAUCAUUGGGCUACCUUGGGCUCUCCGCAGUAGCCGAGCUUAACAUGAUUCUCCACUGCAGCUGCCUCUUUGAAGCGGAUCCGUGAAGUAGAAAUUUGGAGACGUAAGCUGACGUGGAAAUCUAUCCCCAUCCUUAGCAGGGAGGUGCUGGUCAUGUGACCCGAUGUUGAAAUUGACAAGCUGCGAGCUAGUCCGGGCCUUUUUCCCCCCUUUCCUUUUUUUUCCCCUCCCCUCCCUCCUCGGCUUCCUUUCUUUGUAGCCACCUCAGGGGAAGCAACAGAUCGUCACUCGGUGUUCUCACCGAAAGCACGUAAUCGCCGGUGUAACUCAUGUUGGCUGGGGGGCCUCCCGGCGCGCGGUGAGGCUGGGGUGCGCCCUGGUGCAGCUCGCUUUUGCUCAGCUGCAUGAUCCUGGCCCUCGAGUGCGCCCUGGGCGGUGAGAGAUCUCAACUCCCGACAUCCCCACCCCCACUCCCCGGGUGGGUGAGGGAUGCUCUGGGUUGGGGGUGACCAGGUGGAAGCCCGAAUCUGUGUGGCCUGUGGUCUCAGAGUGUGUUCUUCUGGAGACUCACGUUCUCACCCCCCUUCUUCUAAGCCCCCCUCCCACAGGCUUGCUCUGGGAAGCACCUCAGCCUAAGAAGCUAGCCAGACCCCUUUUGGGGCCAGGGUUCGCAGCCGUGGAUGUGCCCGCCUCGAGGCUUGUCCGAUUUGCACGGUGACUUGAUUACACGCUCGCAUUCACGGUCACUUCCGAAGCGCUUUAGUGUCUUCCGUCCCUAAACCGCCAAGAACCAAGGCGGCUUCCCCCGCGGUUUGUCAAUGAUUCGCGGGGUCCGGAAGGUCCUUCGUCUUACCCGGGAUCCACCUUUCCCUUAAUCUUCCCCGCCUGUCUCUUCACCCCACCCGCUGUCCUUGGAGAAAUCCCCUUCUCCUAGCUGCCUGCCUGGGUUCCAGUGACUCGGCAGAGCCAGACGCUCUGGGGCUGCGCCUCUGCUCUCCGGUCCGCAUGCCUGCCUGGUCUUCUGGAGCUGAGGAAUCGGGAAACCAUGCAAUUGAGGCAAGCCUUGGGCUGUUUUAGAGGCGCUGACAUCCGAGGAGCCUUCCCCUGGGGCCAAGCUGAGUGGGUGACUGUUUGUCUGGAUCCUAAGGGUGUCUGCAGGAGACAAGGAGAAUUCCCGAGGAAAGCAUGGGGACAGAGGAAGGAGCUCCAGGAAUGGUUGGCAGGGCAAUUGGGCAAGCUGUACCGAAGCCGGGUGCCCAGAGGGACUUGCAACCUGGAAGGGGGCGUGUGGGGGCGCUGCCGUGAAGAUGAAUGAGGGAAGAGGGUUUUGAUGCCAGCAGAAGGGAAAACGCCCCGGAGCUGCCGAAUGCUUUUAGUUCCCCAGCAGGAACAAGAAGCGGGUGCUCAGAUCCCAAGGCUGCGCAACGUUCCCAGCUUUGACCGCUUCCGCCCCACUUGCGCGGAAUACGCACAGGAGGCCCAGCAGCCAAGCCGAGCUGGGCUCUGGGGAAGAACCGAAUGGGAAUAAGGCCACCCCGGAAAGCCAAGUCCGAGUUCCAAUUCUUGAAGAGACCGCGGCGGGCAAGGUUGUGACAUUGGCCCUGGCGACUGUUUUCCCAUAAGCUGCUGUUUCUCAAGAGCUCCACAGCGCGGGGCCAUCUUCAGAAAACACUCUUCGGCGUGUAUUUCCUUUAAUCGUCCAUCCGGAGCUCCACGGCGGCUAAUGCGCGAGGCCAAAAAUGUUUGGAGGAAGAAAAACAAAGGCAGGAAGUGGCGGCGGCCUGACGGUGCGUGUGUGUCUGUAAAGAAGGGAGGGAGCCGGUUCAAUCUCUCCUUGUUUUUCCGAACUUCAAGUUCUAGGCGGAUCUCUGCAGGGCUGGCCCUGUCUCUCCCGGCGCAGCUUUUGGAGGUGGCCACCAGGAGAGAAGGCCGGCGCCCGCGCCAGCCUUGUCAAGCGGAAAUGGCUAACAAAAUUUGGUCAACAAAACUGGCCAAGCGUUUCUGAGGCUUCUUCUGGUUUGUUCUGAAGUUGCGGGGGUGGGGGCGGUGCUGCGCAUCGCUUCCCGGACCCUCUUUGGAGGGCUGACUGCCACCGUCUGAGGAUGGUGGUUAGUGCAACCCGCGCUCCACCCGCCUUCCCAGGCGGGAUAUCAGAAUAAAGUCUGUCCA